AGGUUUCCGUAGGUGAACCUGCGGAAGGAUCAUUAUCGAAUUAUAAGGCAAGGGUUGUAGCUGGUCCUCCGGGGCAUGUGCACGCCGGAGCCGAUUUAAUCCAACACACACCUGUGAACACACCGUAGGCCUUCGGGCCUAUGUCUUUAAUCACCAACUCCAAUGUCUCUACAGAAUGUCAUCUUUUUUAUAUUUGUUGCCCUAAGAAAGCAAUCGAAUUAAAUACAACUUUCAACAACGGAUCUCUUGGCUCUCGCAUCGAUGAAGAACGCAGCGAAAUGCGAUAAGUAAUGUGAAUUGCAGAUUUUCAGUGAAUCAUCGAAUCUUUGAACGCACCUUGCGCCCCUUGGUAUUCCGAGGGGCAUGCCUGUUUGAGAGUCAUUAAAUUCUCAACCCCACCGAUUUGUUUCGUUCUUGGGGCUUGGAUGUUGGAGCGUGCUGGCGUGAGUCGGCUCCUCUUUAAAUGCAUUAGCGGAAACCAGUCUUUCCAGCUGUCAGUAUGAUAAUCACGUCUUGCUGUCGCUGGGGAUCAGUCGUGUCCGCUUAUAACCGUCCUAGGACAACACAUCAAAUUUUGACCUCAAAUCAGGCUGA
rnacentral:rRNA from 1 species